rnacentral:siRNA from 1 species
UACGACCAAAGAUGCUAAGUA